rnacentral:rRNA from 1 species
UACGUAGGGGGCUAGCGUUGUUCGGAAUUACUGGGCGUAAAGCGCACGUAGGCGGCUUUGUAAGUUAGAGGUGAAAGCCCGGGGCUCAACUCCGGAAUUGCCUUUAAGACUGCAUCGCUAGAAUUGUGGAGAGGUAAGUGGAAUUCCGAGUGUAGAGGUGAAAUUCGUAGAUAUUCGGAAGAACACCAGUGGCGAAGGCGACUUACUGGACACAGUAUUGACGCUGAGGUGCGAAAAGCGUGGGGAGCAAACAGG